AGUCCUACGGGGGGCAGCAGUGGGGAAUAUUGCACAAUGGGCGCAAGCCUGAUGCAGCCAUGCCGCGUGUAUGAAGAAGGCCUUCGGGUCGUAAAGUACUUUCAGCGGGGAGGAAGGUGUUGUGGUUAAUAACCACAGCAAUUGACGUUACCCGCAGAAGAAGCACCGGCUAACUCCGUGCUAGCAGCCGCGGUAAUACGGAGGGUGCAAGCGUUAAUCGGAAUUCCUGGGCGUAAAGCGCACGCAGGCGGUCUGUCAAGUCGGAUGUGAAAUCCCCGGGCUCAACCUGGGAACUGCAUUCGAAACUGGCAGGCUAGAGUCUUGUAGAGGGGGGUAGAAUUCCAGGUGUAGCGGUGAAAUGCGUAGAGAUCUGGAGGAAUACCGGUGGCGAAGGCGGCCCCCUGGACAAAGACUGACGCUCAGGUGCGAAAGCGUGGGGAGCAAACAGGAUUAGAUACCCCGGUAGUCCC
rnacentral:rRNA from 1 species